rnacentral:rRNA from 1 species
AUACGAAGGGGGCUAGCGUUGUUCGGAAUUACUGGGCGUAAAGCGCGCGUAUGCGGAUUGGUCAGUUAGGGGUGAAAUCCCAGGGCUUAACCCUGGAACUGCCUCUAAUACUGCCAGUCUUGAGUUCGGGAGAGGUGAGUGGAAUUCCUAGUGUAGAGGUGAAAUUCGUAGAUAUUAGGAAGAACACCCGUGGCGAAGGAGGCUCACUGGCCCGAUACUGACGCUGAGGCGCGAAAGCGUGGGGAGCAAACAGAAUUAGAUACCCCAGUAGUCC